rnacentral:rRNA from 1 species
UACAGAGGUCUCAAGCGUUGUUCGGAUUCAUUGGGCGUAAAGGGUGUGUAGGUGGCGCCGUAAGUCGGGUGUGAAAUUUCGGAGCUUAACUCCGAAACUGCAUUCGAUACUGCGGUGCUUGAGGACUGGAGAGGAGACUGGAAUUCAUGGUGUAGCAGUGAAAUGCGUAGAGAUCAUGAGGAAGACCAGUGGCGAAGGCGGGUCUCUGGACAGUUCCUGACGCUGAGGCACGGAGGCCAGGGGAGCAAACGGG